CGCCCAUGUAAACGACAUAUUACACAACCAGAACAAAAGUGAACUCCAUCUUCAUUUAAACAAAAAACUGAAGCGCUUUAGGCCCAACGGCCACAGAUGACAACAAGCAAUCAAUCAUCAACAAUCAGUUCACAAAUAAAGAGACAUGGUUCAAAUGAAAUAAAAUGGCUCAACAAGAGACUUAGUGAAGAAAAAGCUUUUGACUGAUGAUUCUGACCAAACUGAAAUUGUUCUAGAAGACUCCGUACAACACUUGUGAAUGAUCAUCGGCCAGAAACCCUCCACAGGGAUUUUCUUGUGGGCAGAGCCAAACAAUUUCUUGGUCUGCUGACACACCUUCUCAUGAGGUGAAAGGAGAUUCUUCUCCUCGGUGCAACUGGACAGGUCAUUUCAUCUUUAAGAAAACAACAAAUUGGUACAUUUGUCAUGGUUGAAACGUGUUGUCGGUCAUGCUUACUAUAUACUGAAAGGUAAUGACAUAAUACUCAUCAGGCAUCUCUUUGAUAGUUAGUGAUUAGUUAAUAUGAAAGCAAUGAGAACAUUCACAUUGAUGAUAUUGUCAAACUCCCAGUUGCAUGGUCAAUAUGACUAACAUGGUGAUCAGUUAAAACCCAACCUCAUGGGAAAUGUGGUUUCACAAAAUUCCACUCUAACAAAGGACGUUCAAGCCUAUUUGUGAUAAUCAGUUUUCAGUGUUUACUUUUAACCCUCUUGUAGUUAAAUGAAAACCACAUGCUUCCCUGGGGGGACAAGGCAAAAACAAUCUACACUAAGUGCUAGUUAAAGACAGGGAAGCUCAGGAUACCAGGGGUAUCACAGGAAGUAACACAGGAAGCUGCGGGAGAGGCUUCCUCUCUAGACCUUGGCAGUCAGGGCUUCUGCCAAAGGUCAAAACACGCCUGCUUCCGACCCGUCUCUGUCUGGACACGCGCUCGCUUGCGCUAACGCCACCGCGCUGACCCUGUCUCAUCCAUUGUUAAACGUUGACAAUGACUGUCCAGAAGGUGGCGCCAUUACAAGCUGCUGAAAAUACGACUUGGGGCGGGGUCACGCCCCUCGGGUCAACUUGACGUUUUGUCAUAAAAUUAGAUUCCAAGGUUUUCUUUUCUUCUCGGCGGGCGGCCCUUCAAGUUGGCCUCGAUGGAGGAUGCCACAUCUGUCAAGAGUAAUGACAUGUUUUUACAGUUGACUUUUCAUUUCAGCGUUGUUGCAUUUGGAGCCUGGAUCCCGGUGGAUCUUCGAUGUUGUGAGGCCGUCUUGCGGUCACGCUGUUUCAGUCCACGGUAUCAUGACCGCUGCCUGGUACCCGGCAAAUAACCCCAAGCACGCUUCCAUGACCGUGGGUUGUUCUUUGAAAAUGACAGUCGUGAGUGUCUGAUGUCUACAGACAUACUGCCCUGGUUGAAGUCAUCAUGCCAUUUGUGUUUGUAAAACAUGUUCAAAGCCUCGUCAGAAAUGUUCCAUAUUUACUUGCCCAGUUCAGCUAAUUCAAGUGUGAAAAGGUCUGCAGUAAACUAUCCAGAUCCUCUUCCGUCCUGUUUAAAUCAACUGACCUUUAAACGUGUUUGUUGUUCAAAAGAUGAAAAAUAUAUUUUUAUUUAUGGUUUCAAUUUGUUCAUCCGAAGAUUGAAACCAUAAAUAAACUGAAGAGCCCAUGCCCUCCUGGGUCUUCCCAGAUCUACAGCCCUUCAACAAAGUCACACCAGCCAUGUCACCACACCAUCUCCCACCAUGCACCAGACAACUCACAGCCAAGCCAGACAUUUCACCAGAUAUCACCCUCCCAGUUACCAGGACACACGCCCUGGACAGAACAGCCUCCCACACAAUGUUACUGGCGAAGUCACAGAUGCAGAGUGUGCGAACGUCUUCUGACCACACCGCCCUCCUGUCCUGACCACACCCACCACGGUCUGCUGAGCUGAAGGGCACCAUGUGAUUGGCCAGCUGGUUGUAACAUAAUGUACGAUUACGCUGUUGUUCUUCAUUGUAGCCAAGAAAGAACAUUGAUGUGUGAGGCUCUUGGUGGCCACAGUGUUUGACUGAAAGCUUUUCAUACACUGGCCGGCAAUCACUGAAAAGCGACGCGUUGGGCUGUUGUUCACCACCGUGUAACGUGUAAUGUUACAGGGACAAACAGACCGUUUUUGGGACUCCAUCAGACAGGCCUCAUUUGCUCCCAGGACCCGAUCCCCAUGAGGCAGAGCUGCCACAUGUCUUCAGCUGUACAGAGAUAAGCCGCCUGAGUCUUUCCUGUGUCGGUGGAACCAGCGAUAGGAGGGGGGCUUGGGGGCUUGGCUGCGCAUGAUAAGCCCAGCGAUGCCAUCCUGUGGGCCUUAUCGUCCGUGCCAGCGCGCCUCGACAGUUAGACCCGUGGCCAAAGAACUGUUGUCAUGACGCCGGCGUCGGCUUGUCUUCCAGCAGAACGCGUCGCGGUGUGUCUGUCAGAAUGCAUGACCGCAGUGUCUGUGUGUAACAUUGGGUGAACAACAGCACGGUUCUUCACCGAUUGUUAAACACAGUCCUAUUUUCACUUCUCAUUUGAAACCGCGGCCCCAAAGCAUGUUAAGAAAACGCUCCAGCUAAAACAUCAACUGAAAUUAUGUCAGAUCUCAUUCUGGAUAAGGACUGUGCAGUGAAGUUAAAUUGCAUAUGUAUACAUGUGUUGUUGUUGUUGUAAAUUGUCUUAUAAAAAUGUUGAAGAUUUGAACUUUUGAUAUGUACCAUAA
ensembl:lncRNA